UAGGGCACCAGUCAACAAAUUGGAUGGUGCGCUUAGUCUUGAUGGUAGCCACAGCAGCAUUCACAUCCUUUGGCACAACAUCACCACGGAACAUAAGGCAGCAAGCCAUAUACUUGCCGUGGCGAGGAUCACACUUGACCAUCAUGGAAGAUGGCUCAAAAGCACUGUUGGUGAUCUCUGCAACUGACAGCUGCUCAUGGUAGGCUUUCUCAGCUGAAAUGACAGGAGCAUAGGAUGAAAGCAUAAAAUGAAUUCUGGGGUAGGGAACAAGGUUGGUCUGGAAUUCAUUGACAUCAACAUUCAGGGCUCCAUCAAACCUCAAAGAAGCAGUAAGUGAAGAGAUAACCUGUGAAAUAAGACGGUUAAGAUUGGUGUAUGUGGGACGCUCAAUGUCCAAUGAGCGCCUGCAGAUGUCAUAGAUAGCCUCAUUGUCAAGAAGAAUUGCAACAUCAGUGUGCUCAAGAAGGGAGUGGGUUGACAGGACACUGUUGUAAGGUUCCACCACAGAGGUUGAGACCUGUGGUGAUGGAUAAAUGGUGAAACCAAGUUUUGAUUUCUUUCCAUAGUCCACAGAGAGACGCUCCAGCAGAAGUGACCCAAGACCAGAACCAGUUCCACCACCUACAGCAUUGAAAACCAGGAAACCUUGAAGACCAGUACAGUUAUCAGCAAGCUUCCUGAUACGAUCCAAGCAGAGAUCAACUAUCUCCUUCCCAAUUGUAUAAUGUCCACGGGCAAAGUUGUUGGCUGCAUCUUCUUUGCCACUUAUGAGUUGUUCAGGGUGAAAGAGCUGACGGUAAGUUCCUGUCCUC
rnacentral:misc_RNA from 1 species